rnacentral:misc_RNA from 1 species
GCGAACAGGGUGAGCCAUUGGGCCAGCAUCCUGUGGAAAUUGGACACUCCGAAGUCUUGAAACAUCACCAAUGCGUUUCACAGUGCGGCUACCCAGGUCAGAUGAGAACUCCUGAUCCCUGAAGACAGUGAGGCCUUCUUUUAGACUAAGUUGGAACCAAUCACGACACGUCACUCUGUUGCCUGUCCAGUUGUGAAAGUACUCAUGGCCAACUACACCCAAAAUUGAAGCAUAAUCCACAUCUGAGGCCGUUUCAGGAGAUGCUAAGACAAGCUUCGAAUUGAAUAAGUUCAGGCUCUUGUUUUCCAUGGCACCCAUAUUGAAAUCAGGAACAGCCACAAUGUUGAACAAAUCGAGAUCAUAUUCAAGACCAAAGACUUCUUCAUCCCACUUCAUUGCUGCCUUGAGUGAAUACAUUGCAUGGGCCGUCUUUGGUACAUCCUGUGAUGGAGUCCAUAUCCUCAAGGUAACAGUCCGGCCAGAACGAGUAACAAAUGUAUCCUCUCUGUUUUCUAGCUGUCCCGCAACUAAGGCAAAUAAAUAGCAUGGUUUUUU